CGUGGCCUCUGAGGACCUGGGGGCGGGGUCUGGCAGGGUCAGAGGUUUCUGGAAAGGCCUUUGACCUGUGGGCGUGUUCCUAGAGGUCAGGUGGUGAGAAUGGCGGGGUCAGCGGACAGCAGUGGGGCUACAGGCUGUGUCUGUGGCUGCCCUGGCUUAGGGCUCUGGCUGGCCCCUCCUUUCCGACCUGGUCUGGCAGAGCAGCCCCGCAGGACCAGCUCGCAAGGCUCCUGGGGCCAGUGGGGCUCUGUCCUGUGAGGCGGUCCCUCCGCAAGGACAGAGUCAGAGAGAGGCUGAAACCAGGUCCUGAAAAACAUCACAGAAACUACAGCUGGAAAUUUCCUGUUGACCCUGAUAGACUACUACUUGACACCAGCCGACCGAUCUGCUGGCUGCCCACCAUGGUCCUGCCACAAUUCUGAUGGGACAGAGAAUUGGCCUUACUUUCUUUCCUGAUAAAUAGCCAUAGACCUCAAGCCAGCCAGUUUUGGCCAGCUUAUAGAGACUGUACACAAACUGUCUUUGUGCCCUGUAGUUCACCUUUUUGAUGCAAAGAGCCAAAUUCACCUUACUUUAAUGCUAAAACCCCACCCCAAAGUGAACAUGGAAUGCAUGUUACAUAUAUGUUUACCCACUGCACACAUGCUUGACUUCCCUCAUGAAUAUUCACAGAUUCCUUUAAGCCUGCUAAAUAUAACCCAGCUAAUUUUUAUAUUUUUGGUACAGAUAGGGUUUCAUCAUGUUGGUCAGGCUGGUCUUGAGCUCCUGACCUCAAGUGAUCCACCCGCCUCGGCCUCCCAAAGUGCUGGGAUUACAGGCGUGAGCCACCGCGCCCAGCCUCAUGAUGAUUUCUAAACACAGAUUCCCCUGAUCCAUGUGGGCGUGUGUGUAUGGCGGCGGCAAUUUUAGGAGUCAACUAUAACAAGGUCCCAAGGAAGUGAGAGGGGAGCCAAGCUCCAGGGGACAGAAGAGGGAAGGGAAGGGCAAUGGUGAGUUUCUUUUUUAGGGCCCAUGGUGUAUGCAGGAAACACUUCCUCCCCAUUUUGUACUUUGGUGUGUAAUGAAAUAGCCAAGCAACACUUUUCUCUUUUUCUGAACUUGCUGAGGAAAAAGGAAAAAAGGGAUCCAAAUCUAUCUGUCUUGGAGCAAAGAUGACAGAAUUGCAGGCAGUGACAUGAUCAAAUGUGCUGAGGACAGGAGCAAACCACGCACACCCUGGAGUAUCCCUGUAAGGCAUAAAUACCAGCUUCCUAUUCCCUUUUGGAGUAUGUCCUUUUGGUUUUCCUGGGAGGUUGCAUUCCCCAAUUUGUAGAUUGUUUCUCCCUCUGAAAAUAGUUUUUUUUCCCUUUUCUUCCUCUGUGCAUCUCAUGGUCUUUUGUUAACAUUUCAAAGAGAGUUUCUGAUUAACUGUGGGUUGCAUGUUUCACAGUCCAAAUAGCCUUAGCCUGGUCAGAGACCAGGGCCUGCUUCAGAUAAUUUACGAAGUUGUUGCUAUUAAGAGUGUAACCUGGCUGGGUGCAGUAGCUCACGCCUGUAAUCCUAGUACUUUGGGAGGCCGAGGUGGGUGGAUCACUUGAGGCCAGGAGUUUGAGACCAACCUGACCAACAUGGUGAAAUCCCGUCUCUACUAAAAAUACAAAAAAAUUAGCCAGGCGUGGUGGCACACUUCUGUGAUUCCAGUGACUUGAGAGGCUGAGGCAGGAGAAUUGCUUGAACCUAGGAGUUGGAGGUUGCAGUGAGCCAAGGUUGCGCUACUGCACUCCAGCCUGGGCGACAGAGUGAGACUCUCUUGGGGGAAAAAAAAAGAGUGUAAUCUGCUCCCCUCCAGCUGGACGGGAAUACAGAUAAGGUUUUGAGGCCUGGUGCCUUGUAGGAGCCCUGAGUGAUCAGGCAGUCGUAGAAGUGCAUGAGGUGCCAGGGGUUUCCUUCCAGCAGAACUUGCCUUCUUUAUUUGUUGGGCCAGUGACUUCUCAGUUCCAGAGUUAUUGCCUUGAUGGUCCAUGAGUGCUGUUUUGAGAUUGACCCCCACUCUCUCUUGAAUGAAAUAUAUUUCAUCUCUUUUCUUCUUGUAUUGAUAUGUUAAUAUUUAUUUUUUAAUAAAGGUGAGAUCUAAGGAGACAUUAUCCACUUUGUUUAAACCCUUCUCUUGGCUGCCAUGAUCCAACUAUCUUCUGGUUUUUCUUCUAUCUCUGCCUACAACUUCUCAAUACCGUAGUCUCCUGUGGCCCUCCUUUCCCAAUCCUCAGUUAUGGCUCAGAGUUUCUUUAUAGCCAUUUUUUUUUUCUCUGAAGGCUCAUGACUUCCAAAUACUUGAUAUUCCAAAUACUUGAUAUCAGUAUAUUGAUAUUGAUAACUCUUGAGUCUUUAAUUCUAGCUUUUAUUACUUUCCAACUUCCAGCUCC
rnacentral:lncRNA from 10 species